UGGUUUUGGUUGAAUUUGUUUGCUUUGGUUUCCUGACUUUGAUGUGACUAAUAUUUCUGAAUCUUUGAUUUAAAAGGAUCAGUGAGAUCGGACAAUCCUCAUCUUAGGAUCUCGUGAUGAUUCUAUGACAUCCAGCGGUUUGUCGGACUGCAUUUUAAUGACUACAAUCUUUUCACGCUAUCCUUGUCUCUCUCGCUCGCUCUUCUCUAAUUACUAGCUCUCUUC
rnacentral:lncRNA from 1 species